rnacentral:rRNA from 1 species
UACGUAGGCAGCAAGCGUUGUUCGGAGUUACUGGGCGUAAAGGGUGCGUAGGCGGUUUGGUAAGUCUGAUGUGAAAUCUAUGGGCUCAACUCAUAGUCUGCAUCGGAAACUGCCGGGCUUGAGUAUGGGAGAGGUGAGUGGAAUUCCUGGUGUAGCGGUGAAAUGCGUAGAUAUCAGGAGGAACACCUGUGGCGAAGGCGAUCAUCUGGGGUUGUUCUGACACUGAGGAGCGAAAGCUAGGGGAGCAAACGGG